rnacentral:rRNA from 1 species
UAAAGGUAUUCCGGUAGACGAUGGGGAUGCGUUCCAUUAGAUAGUAGGCGGGGUAACGGCCCACCUAGUCUUCGAUGGAUAGGGGUUCUGAGAGGAAGGUCCCCCACAUUGGAACUGAGACACGGUCCAAACUCCUACGGGAGGCAGCAGUGAGGAAUAUUGGUCAAUGGGCGAGAGCCUGAACCAGCCAAGUAGCGUGAAGGAUGACUGCCCUAUGGGUUGUAAACUUCUUUUAUAAAGGAAUAAAGUCGGGUAUGGAUACCCGUUUGCAUGUACUUUAUGAAUAAGGAUCGGCUAACUCCGUGCCAGCAGCCGCGGUAAUACGGAGGAUCCGAGCGUUAUCCGGAUUUAUUGGGUUUAAAGGGAGCGUAGAUGGAUGUUUAAGUCAGUUGUGAAAGUUUGCGGCUCAACCGUAAAAUUGCAGUUGAUACUGGAUAUCUUGAGUGCAGUUGAGGCAGGCGGAAUUCGUGGUGUAGCGGUGAAAUGCUUAGAUAUCACGAAGAACUCCGAUUGCGAAGGCAGCCUGCUAAGCUGCAACUGACAUUGAGGCUCGAAAGUGUGGGUAUCAAACAGGAUUAGAUACCCUGGUAGUCCACACGGUAAACGAUGAAUACUCGCUGUUUGCGAUAUACUGCAAGCAGCCA